ensembl:lncRNA
CUUUCCUAUGUUCGAAAGGAAGCACCUUCUCAUCUCCCCUUGACCCGAUGACGUUUUCCACAAAGGUUAAGUAAAGGAGGCAUAAAGGUUGAGAUGUUUCAACCAGAAGCUGGGAGCGGCCGCACAGAAGGAAAUCAGACGCUGGAACAAGACGCUGGAACAAGACGCUCUUUGGACACAGACCAUUACAGAGAGGCUGGGCCUGCAGUCACCACACACUGAGCAGACGGCGCUGCCAUGGUAAAAACAAAUAUAUAUAUAUUAUUUUUUGUAACAUGCUGAAUUUUUUUUACAG